rnacentral:rRNA from 1 species
GGACAGUGUCUGGUGGGUAGUUUGACUGGGGCGGUCUCCUCCUAAAGCGUAACGGAGGAGCACGAAGGUUGGCUAAUCCUGGUCGGACAUCAGGAGGUUAGUGCAAUGGCAUAAGCCAGCUUGACUGCGAGCGUGACGGCGCGAGCAGGUGCGAAAGCAGGUCAUAGUGAUCCGGUGGUUCUGAAUGGAAGGGCCAUCGCUCAACGGAUAAAAGGUACUCCGGGGAUAACAGGCUGAUACCGCCCAAGAGUUCAUAUCGACGGCGGUGUUUGGCACCUCGAUGUCGGCUCAUCACAUCCUGGGGCUGAAGUAGGUCCCAAGGGUAUGGCUGUUCGCCAUUUAAAGUGGUACGCGAGCUGGGUUUAGAACGUCGUGAGACAGUUCGGUCCCUAUCUGCCGUGGGCGCUGGAGAACUGAGGGGGGCUGCUCCUAGUACGAGAGGACCGGAGUGGACGCAUCACUGGUGUUCGGGUUGUCAUGCCAAUGGCACUGCCCGGUAGCUAAAUGCGGAAGAGAUAAGUGCUGAAAGCAUCUAAGCACGAAACUUGCCCCGAGAUGAGUUCUCCCUGAGACUACAAGUCUCCUGAAGGAACGUUGAAGACGACGACGUUGAUAGGCCGGGUGUGUAAGCGCAGCGAUGCGUUGAGCUAACCGGUACUAAUGAACCGUGAGGCUUAACCUUACAACGCCGAAGGUGUUU